GGAGGAGGCGAGGAGGAGGAGGAGGAAAGCAAGAACAGACUAGAGUCUCUCUCCCAAGCUCUUUCACCAAUGGCAGAAACAACAAACAAACAACCGUCUGACGAAGAAGAAGAAGAAGAUUACAUGGGAGACCUCUCUCAGUUCCUUCCUCCCGAAACCACUGCCCCCUCAAAAUCUUCGGUAAAGGUCUCUGCCAACAAUACCCAAAUUUCCCAACCUUCAGACAAGAAACCCAAAACCCAAAACUGGCAAGAACAACAAAAACUCAAGAGAGAAAAAAGGCAAGAAGAAGAGGACCGAAAUACCCUAGCAAGCUUAGAAUCAGCGAUUCCCCAAUCCAACAUUGGUUUCAAGUUGUUGAAACAGAUGGGUUACACCCCAGGGUCCACGCUGGGGAAGGAGGGUUCUGGUCUUGCGGAGCCCGUGGGGCUUGAGAUUCGGCGGACUCGAGCUGGGAUUGGUCGGGAGGACUCGAGAAAGGAGAAGAGGAAGAGGGAAGAGGAGAGGAUGGAAUGGGAGAGGGGGAAGGAGGAGGCGUUGAUGGAGGAUUUUGGGUGCCGCCACAAAGAGCAAUGGCGGAGUCGGAGGAUUGUGGUGAAUUAUCACAAGGCGAAGGCGGCAUUGGAGCAGUUGGAGAAUAAGGAGGUGGUGGCACAGGCUGGCAAGGAUGAAGAGGAUGCCGAAAAUGAAGAGGAGGAAGAGGAGAUAAUAACCGAAGAGGAUUUGCAAGAUAUAUUGAUAAAGCUGAGAGAGGAAUAUCAAUACUGCCUCUUCUGUGGAUGUCAAUAUGAAUCAAUGGAAGCACUCUUAUCCAAUUGCCCAGGAACAAAUGAAGAUGACCAUUGAAAGAUUGUUCCAAAUAACACGAAUUUGUUCCACUACACAACUUCCAGAAGAAGAUGCUACUUUGCCCAAGUUAGGUAACGUUGAAGGGUCAAAUAAUCAGGACUUAUCUGUUAAUGUUGAUACAUCUGCAUCCUCCCACAAUGUACUUCAUGGAAAUACUAUCAGUGCCAUGGAUGUUGAUGUAACUGUCAACAUACCAUUUGCAUUGGUUGAUGAGAUAGCUGAGGCUUCUCCUGCACCUGAAGAUGGCUUACAACUUGGAGAUCAAAUUGUGAAAUUUGGAGAUCAAAUUGUGAAAUUUGGGAAUGUGGAAUCUGGUGAUGAUUUGUUGCCAAAGCUUGCUUCUGAAGCUCUGUCCAAUCAAGACCGUGAAAUACCUGUAGUGGUUUUGAGGCAAGGUGCACUUAUCAACUUAACAGUCACACCGAGAGCGUGGCAGGGCCGUGGCUUACUGGGAUGUCAUUUCCGAAUCCUAUGAUCAUUUACAUGGUGCUUUGAUGAAUAGUGAUGCUUCGGUUAGGCCAGCCAGAAGACAAUGCCCCAGUAGAUGUGUUCUGAACAUUCACUCUCCUCUUUGCCAGUCCAUAGGGGUAAAAUGAUGGUUACUGUCUUUUAAACUCCUUCACAUAUUUGGAUUUUAUAUGUAGCAUCUGUGUGAGACUUCCAUUUUGCUUCAUUCCUUUGUGGAUUCUCAAAUCCUCUUUAGUGCUUGUGGACAUAUCUGAAGGAAGAUGUAUGGAUCUAUUUUAAUUUACUCAGCAUAUUUGUGUUUGAACUUUCAACUCAAAAAUCUAAUGGUUACCAAUGACAAUAACAAGAGGGAAGCAUUCUAGAAA